rnacentral:tRNA from 1 species
GGGGUUGUAGCUCAGUGGUAAAGUGCUUGCCUAGCAUGUGAGUGUCAGUGGGUUCAAUUCUCAGCACCA